AAGGGGAAUGGUUAACCAGAACAGGGCCUCAGUCAGAACCAACUGCGAAACUAGUACAGUCAUACCUCGGUUUAAGUCCGCUGCAGUUUGAGUACUUUCGGUUUAAGUACUCCGCGGACCCGGAAGUGUUUACUUCCUGGUUCUGUCACGAGCAUGCGCAAAAGCGAUCUGCGCAGUCCGCGCAUGCACAGAAGCGCUCUGUUGGCGCUUCACACAUGCGCACUAUCGCCCCUCGGUUUAAGUACUUUUCGGGGAGCGAAUGGCACCCCGGAACCAAUUAAGUACUUAAACCGAGGUACCACUGUAUCUCAAUUGCGAACGCUUGUGAUUAAAGGCUCAGAACGGAGCUACAUGGCUUUCCAACUAAGAAAAUGGAUCUUUGAGACCAAAUCACUGCUGGUGGUGAAGUUAUUUCUGUUGUUAUUUUGAUGCUUUAGGAAGAAUGAAAGCCCAGAAUUCUAAACCGAAGGAAAGAAGAGUAGCAGGCAUGACCCCAAAGGAGACGCUUACAGUGCAAUCCUAACUAUGUCUACUCAGAAGUUUUAAUUAUCGUGGCUGGGUUUUUUGAGCUGCUUUGAAACUGCUGCUGUUACACUACAGUAUCUAAAGCGUCUCCACCCCCACCAUUCAGCUCGGACACUGAGAUCCAGCGCCGAGGGCCUUCUGGCAGUUCCCUCAUUGUGAAAAGUGAGGUUACAGGGAACCAGACAGAGGGCCUUCUCGGUAGCAGCACCCGCCCUGUGGAAUGCCCUUCUAUCAGAUGUCAAGGAA